GAGGGGGCAAGCGUUAUUCGGAAUUAUUGGGCGUAAAGGGCGCGUAGGCGGCUUUUCAAGUGACGGGUGAAAUCCCUCGGCUUAACCGAGGAACUGCCUGUCAGACUGGAAGGCUUGAGACCGGGAGAGGUGAGUGGAAUUCCCAGUGUAGCGGUGAAAUGCGUAGAUAUUGGGAGGAACACCAGUGGCGAAGGCGGCCCACUGGACCGGAACUGACGCUGAGGCGCGAAAGCGUGGGGAGCAAACAGGAUUAGAUACCCUGGUAGUCCACGCCGUAAACGAUGAGUGCUUGGUGUAGCGGGUAUCGACCCCUGCUGUGCCGAAGUCAACACAUUAAGCACUCCGCCUGGGGAGUACGGUCGCAAGACUG
rnacentral:rRNA from 1 species